rnacentral:rRNA from 1 species
UUAAAGGAAUUGACGGGGCCCGCACAAGCAGCGGAGCGUGUGGUUUAAUUCGUUGCUACACGAAGAACCUUACCUGGGUUUGACAUAUAGGUUGUAGGGAACUGAAAAGGGACCGACCUUCGGGGAGCCUAUACAGGUGUUGCAUGGCUGUCGUCAGCUCGUGUCGUGAGAUGUUCGGUUAAGUCCACUAACGAGCGCAACCCUCGUCGUAUGUUAUAUGUGUCAUACGAGACUGCCGGUAAAAAGCCGGAGGAAGGUGAGGAUGAUGUCAAGUCAGCAUGACCUUUAUAUCCAGGGCUACACACACGCUACAAUGGUCUGUACAACGGGUAGCCAAGCCGCGAGGCGGAGCCAAUCCUGAAAGCAGGCCUCAGUUCAGAUUGCAGUCUGCAACUCGACUGCAUGAAGCCGGAGUUGCUAGUAACCGCAGGUCAGCAAUACUGCGGUGAAUACGUUCCCGGGUCUU